GCCGAAAUAUUUGGCACUAUCUUUCAGAGCGGAUACAGAUAAACACCGGCCUUGCCAAGGGGCAGUUUCAAAAGUUUAGGCGUUUUCGCGCAUAUAAACCGUAGAGUCGAUUGAGGCUAAAGCUCACUUGUGGCUGCUCUGCCUUCCUGCUUCCCUCUGAGCCUUUGGAUCCCAGCUGGGCCUCACACCUGCCUGGUAUUCACACGGGUGUUCAAGAUCCAAACUCAGGCCCACAAGGACUCACGAAAUUCAGACUCACUGUCUAGAUAGUCAAGGAUGGCCCUGACUUUCUGAUCCUCCCACCUGGUGCUGGUUAACAAGUGUGUACCACACGUGGAGCCAGAGAUCACUGAACCUAGGACUUCACGCACGCUAGACAAGCAUUCUUCCUACUGAGCCGCAUCCUGAGCUCCACGGACUGGUUCCUUCUGCUCAGGAGAAUUAUGGUAAUGGUUGAUCAAUGUGCUUCUGUAAGCUGUGAGACCUUCGUUAGCUUACAGACGACUUAUGGAAGGAAACCGAAAAACCGAAGAAAAGACUGACCUAAGGAUAAAAUGUGUGGAGGCGAGCUUGGCCAGACUCCAGGUGAAUAUCAGCCAAAGUUCAACGGAAGUCUGCACUGUACACAGAGCAGAGAUGAGUCAGGGAAGGGAGCGGGUGAGCUGUGAUCCUCCUUGCCCUCGGGGGUCGUCAUCGUAUACUGGUCCACAAUGGCAAAGGGAGCCGGGAUAACUGGUGUCCAGAAGCUCCGUGAGUAUGUACGGUGAAGGAGACAUACCAGGACCGCUGCAGGGAGGCCCAUCACCUUUACUUAGGGUGAUUCAGGUUUAUAUAAUUUGGAGAACGCAGGGGAAUCUCAGGUGCUAGCUGAACGGGUUCUUGUCAGGAGAAAGUAAGCUGAACCUGUAAUCUAACUAAAACUGUCUAUAGUUAGAGGUGUGUGUGUGGGGGGGGGGGGGUUAAUUCCCCAGACAAGGUCAGAGAAGGAAGUGGAAGCCCUGCCAACAAGGGAGUCCUCCCUUCUGUGAUGAACUGGGAG
rnacentral:lncRNA from 1 species